AUUGAACGCUGGCGGCAUGCUUUACACAUGCAAGUCGAACGGUAACAGCACUUCGGUGGCUGACGAGUGGCGAACGGGUGAGUAAUACAUCGGAACGUGCCUAGUAGUGGGGGAUAACUACUCGAAAGAGUAGCUAAUACCGCAUGAGAUCUAAGGAUGAAAGCAGGGGACCUUCGGGCCUUGCGCUACUAGAGCGGCUGAUGGCAGAUUAGGUAGUUGGUGGGAUAAAAGCUUACCAAGCCGACGAUCUGUAGCUGGUCUGAGAGGACGACCAGCCACACUGGGACUGAGCCACGGCCCAGACUCCUACGGGAGGCAGCAGUGGGGAAUUUUUGCCAAUGGGCGCAAGCCUGAUCCAGCAAUGCCGCGUGCAGGACGAAGGCCUUCGGGUUGUAAACUGCUUUUGUACGGAACGAAAAGCCCUCUUCUAAUACAGGAGGGUCAUGACGGUACCGUAAGAAUAAGCACCGGCUAACUACGUG
rnacentral:rRNA from 1 species